GUGAGCGGGGCCACGCUGCGCCUGCGCAGUGCGGACGUCGCCAUUCCUGGCCCAUGGCAAGAUUGCGUUUCACCUGCUCCUGAAGGCCGAAGGUGGCUCUAGCGCAUCCUUUGUCGCGCCGUGACCUGCAGGUACUGACAGAUCCGUGGGGAGGACACCGUGACUUCCCGGACGCUGGGAAAUGACAUAUGUGGAAUGUUUCAGGACUCAGUCUCCUUUGAGGAUGUGGCUGUGAACUUCACCCUGGAGGAGUGGGCUUUGCUGGAUUCUUCACAGAAAAAGCUCUAUGAAGAUGUGAUGCAGGAGACCUUCAAAAACCUGGUCUGCCUAGGAAAAAAGUGGGAAGACCAGGACAUUGAAGAUGACCACAGAAACCAGGGGAGAAAUCGAAGAUGUCAUAUGGUUGAGAGACUCUGUGAAAGUAGAAAAGGUAGCAAAUGUGGAGAAACCACUAGCCAGAUGCCCAAUGUUAAUAUCAACAAGGAAACUUUUACUGGAGCAAAACCACAUGAAUGCAGCUUUUGUGGAAGAGACUUCAUGCAUCAUUCGUCCCUUAAUAGGCACAUGAGAUCUCACACUGAACAGAAACCAAAUGAGUAUCAGGAAUAUGAAAAGCAACCAUGUAGACGUAAAGCAGUUGGGAAAACCUUCAGUUAUCGCCACUGCUUUCGCAAACGUGAAAGAACUCACACUAGAGUGAAGCCCUAUGAAUGUAAACAGUGUGGGAAAGCCUUUAUAUAUUACCAGCCAUUUCAAAGACAUGAAAGGACUCAUGCUGGAGAGAAACCCUAUGAAUGUAAGCAAUGUGGAAAAACCUUCAUAUAUUACCAGUCUUUUCAAAAACAUGCUCAUACUGGAAAGAAACCCUAUGAAUGUAAACAGUGUGGGAAAGCCUUUAUAUGUUACCAAUCUUUUCAAAGACACGAAAGGACUCACACUGGAGAGAAACCCUAUGAAUGUAAGCAAUGUGGUAAGGCUUUCAGUUGUCCCACAUACUUUCGAACUCAUGAAAGAACUCACACUGGAGAAAAACCCUACAAAUGUAAAGAAUGUGGUAAAGCCUUCAGUUUUCUCAGUUCUUUUCGAAGGCAUAAAAGGACUCAUAGUGGAGAGAAACCCUAUGAAUGUAAAGAAUGUGGAAAAGCCUUCUUUUAUUCUGCAAGCUUUCGAGCACAUGUAGUAACACACACUGGGGCUCGACCUUAUAAAUGUAAAGAAUGUGGGAAAGCCUUCAACUCUUGUAAUUCCUGUCGAGUGCAUGAAAGAACUCAUAUUGGAGAAAAACCAUAUGAAUGUAAACAAUGUGGUAAAUCAUUCAGUUGGUCCAUUUCUCUUCGAUUGCAUGAAAGAACUCAUACUGGAGAGAAACCUUAUGAAUGUAAACAGUGUCAUAAAACCUUCAGUUUUUCAAGUUCUCUUCGAGAACACGAAACAACCCACACUGGAGAGAAACCCUAUGAAUGUAAACAAUGUGGUAAAACCUUCAGUUUUUCAAGUUCCCUUCAAAGACAUGAAAGGACUCACAAUGCAGAGAAACCCUAUGAAUGUAAACAGUGUGGGAAAGCCUUCAGGUGUUCAAGUUAUUUUCGAAUUCAUGAAAGGUCACACACUGGAGAGAAACCCUAUGAAUGUAAACAGUGUGGAAAAGUUUUCAUUCGUUCCAGUUCCUUUCGACUGCACGAAAGAACACACACUGGAGAGAAACCCUAUGAAUGUAAACUAUGCGGUAAAACCUUCAGUUUUUCAAGUUCCCUUCGAGAACAUGAAAAAAUUCACACUGGAAAUAAACCUUUUGAAUGUAAGCAGUGCGGUAAGGCCUUCCUUCGUUCCAGUCAAAUUCGAUUGCAUGAAAGGACUCACACUGGAGAGAAACCAUAUCAAUGUAAACAGUGUGGAAAAGCCUUCAUUUCUUCCAGUAAAUUUCGAAUGCAUGAGAGAACUCACACGGGAGAGAAACCCUAUCUAUGUAAACAAUGUGGGAAAGCCUUCAGAUUUUCAAGUUCUGUUCGAAUUCAUGAAAGGUCUCACACUGGAGAGAAACCUUAUGAAUGCAAACAAUGUGGAAAAGGCUUCAUUUCUUCCAGUCACUUUCGACUGCAUGAAAGGACUCAUAUGGGAGAGAAAGUCUAAGAAUAUAAGCAACAUUCUGAAGGCUUUGGUUGUUCCAGCUCCUUCUGAAUACACAAAAGAGUUCAUACUGGACAGAAGCUGUGUGAAUACAAACAUUGUUCUAAAGCCCUUGAUUGUUCCAGUUUCUUUUGAACACGAAAGAAUUCCCACUGUGCGUGUCACGUGUGCUGCUGCAGGGCUGGUUUCAUAGCCUUGCCUCCAAGGCCAGCACUUAACUGCUUCGUGGAACAGAACCCACCCUGCAGAACUCCAGCCUUGUGGUAUACUGGAAGCCGCCAUAUCAGAGAGGCGCCACCGGCCAUGGAGCCAACUCGCUUCAUGUCACUCCCAGAAUGCAAGGUGUACUGAACUCCCAAGAAACUGUGUCCUGACAGCACCGAAGAGUUCCUCCUUUGCUGAGCUGUGCAGCCAUGGUAGGUGUCAGGCCCUUCCUUUGGUGGAGGCAGUGCCCACUGUUACCUAGAUAGCAAGUCAGAGUGUCCCGCCAGGGUUGUAGCAGGAAUGAGGGAAGCCAGCUCACCGUCCAACCUCACAGCAACUUCCUGUCUCUCCCUGGAUACCAGAAGUGAUAUUUCUGUCACUUCAAGAUGUUUAGUCUGAGUUUUGUAGGCCUCCAUCCUACCCCAACGGCAGAUGUGGGUCAGGGGGCAGCCUUGCAAGGCUUGAGCAUGGUGGGGUCCUGUGAGGCCAUCUGGAGCAAGGUCUGCUGGCAGAUGUGCCCUUAGUGAAGGUGAGGGCUACCAGGAAGAGCUCAGAGGAGGGCAUGAAGCUGAGCCAUGAGAUCCAUGUCUUUGCUGCCACCACUGUGCUCUCAGUGGAAAAGCAAACUGACACACGGUCAAGUCAUGAGGGAUGUUUCUGGAAUCACCUACAAUUUAUAACAGUUGAAGGGCUGGAGCAGCAGCAUCAAUCCAUUUCCAGCCCUUACUUUUGCAUCCUUGAACUCACAUUUUCUACUUUUACAGAAAAGCACUUUUUAGAGUCUAUAUGCUCAAGUAGUGUAAAAUGUCUUCCCCAUCAGGAUGGGCUAAAGAGCCACUUUUUGUGAGAGGCUUGGGGGCUGGAAGCACCUCUCUGCUACAUGGGAUGUGGGUGAGAACAAUUCAGUCUUUGAAGAUUAAGUGUAUGUGAGCUUAUGGCGAGGUUUGUGUACAACCUGUUUGUGUGUCUAUUUGAGUCCUACAAUUCAAUAAGUGUUUUUGUGUUUUGUUUUGUUUUUUGAGACAGAGUUUCGCUCUUGUUGCCCAGGCUGGAAUGCAAUGGCACAGUCUUGGCUCACUGCAACCUCUACCUCCCAGGUUCAAGCAAUUCUCCUGCCUCAGCCUCUGGAGUAGCUGGGAUUACAGGCAUGCACCACCAUGCCCAGCUAAUUUUUAUAUUUUUGGUAGAGAUGGGGUUUCACCAUGUUGGCCAGGCUGGUCUCAAACUCCUGACCUCAGGUGAUCCGCCCACCUCCACCUCCCAAAGUGCUGGGAUUACAGGCACGAGCCACCGCACCUGGCCAAUUCAAUAAGUAUUAAUCUCCUUGAUACAACAGGCUCUCUAGUUGGUGUAAUGAACAAAUCUACACUAAUAUCCCUGUCUCCUCCAACCUGACAUUCUAGAAGAGAAGAAACAAGAGAAUAAGCAAAAAUAUACAGUAGAUCAUAGUGGUUAUUCCUCAGGAAGGAGAGCAACCUGGAGUAGAGGGGGCAGGCCUGGGGUCUGUGUGUCUCUGCAAGCAUCUGUUGGUAUCUCUGGGCCAUUUUUAUCUGUGAGUUUCUGUGUCUGUCUCUGGGUGUGUCCACCUGUGUGUACAGUGAAAAUGGUUAUGAUCUCUUGUAUGUCGGUCUGGGAGGCUGUGGGGCUGCGUGUAUAUAUUUUUUAAUCUAGAAUUGCUUCCAUUUCAUUUUCUUGCCUGAUUUCCCAGACAGCAUCUCCCUUAACACAUUGAGUAAAACUAGUUAGGGCCGGGCGCAGUAGCUCAUACCUGUAAUCUCAGCACUUUGGGCGGCCAAGUGGGCAGACCACUUGAGUCCAGGAGUUCGAGACCAGCCUGACCAACAUGGUGAAACCCCGUCUCUACUAAAAAUACAAAAAUUAGCUGGGUGUGGUGGCAUCUGCCUGUAGUCCCAGCUACUCGGGAGGCUGAGACGGGAGAAUCACUUGAACCUCUGGGAGGUGGAGGCUGCAGUGAGCUGAGAUGGUGCCACUGCACUCCAGCCUGGACAACAGAGUGAGAACUCUGUCUCAAAAAAAAAAAAAAAAAAAACCUGUUAGAGCAUACAUCCUUUUUUUCCGGAUCCAGUUUUUCACUGUCAAAAUGAUGUGGGUUUUUCAUAUAUGGCAUCAAUUGAGAUAAUUGUCAUUUUCCAUCAUUUUGCUAAUGUGGUAUAUGACAAUGAUCAGUUUUCAUAUUUUGAACCAUUUUUAUGUUCCAAGAAUAAAUCUCACUUGGCUAUGUUAUGUAAUGCUUUUAAUGUUGCUUCCUAUGGUUUGCUGGUGUUUAUUUGAGGAUUCCUGCAUCACCAUUCACAGUAGGAAUUAAUGCAAUCUUCCUUGCUCUCAAGCCAUUUCACACCUGCUUGUGAGCGCCCUGAGACCUCAAUUAUGUAAUAAGCCUUUUUAUACUCACUCACUAUGUGUCUGCCACAUAGCCAUGCGUGUCAACAUCAGAACCACACGUUUUCAGGCAACACUGGCAGUUGGCACCAUGAACAAGAUGUCUGGAUGCUGGUCACCACGCCACGGGUCUGUUCUCUCGUCCGGGUUGCUAACCUGCUCUGCUGCCCGGCAGCCAGUGUGUACUUUGAGCUGCUGCUUGCUGCCCUGUGUUGCGUUGCUGAGGCCUAGCCAGCCUUGGUUCCGGAUUCAGCUGAGCUAAGUCAGCAGUUUGCAUAAUUCCUUUACAUUGAGGAGCAGAAGUAUGGGAUUGCAGCCCCUCUUUUUUUUUUGAGACGGAGUUUCGCUCUUGUUGCCCAAGGCUGGAGUGCAAUGGCACGAUCUCGGCUCACCGCAACCUCUGCCUCCCAGGUUCAAACGAUUCUCCUGCCUCAGCCUCUUGAGUAGCUGGAAUUAAGGCAUGUGCCACCAUGCCUGGCUGAUUUUUUGUAUUUUUAGUAGAGACGGGGUUUCUCCAUGUUGGUCAGGCUGAUCUCGAACUCCCAACCUCACGUGAUCCGCCCUCCUCGGCCUCCCGAAGUGCUGGUCUUACAGGCGUGAGCCACCGCGCCCGGCUAAUUGCAGCCCCUCUUACACAGUCCUGGGUCAUAUGUUUUGGCUGGGACCUAGCUGUGGUUUUUUUGUUUUUUUUGUUUUUGUUUUUUUAGACAGAGUCUCUCUGUGUCACCCAGGCUGGAGUGCAGUGGCAUGAUCUUGGCUCACUGCAACCUCUGCCUCCCAGGUUCAAGCGAUUCUCCUGCCUCAGACUCCCGAAUAGCAGGGAUUACAGGAGGGUGCCACCACACCCAGCUAAUUUUUGUAUUUUUAGUAGAGAUGGGGUUUCAUCAUGUUGGCCGUGCUGGUCUCGAACUUCUGACCUCAGGUGAUCCAUCCGCCUCGGCCUCCCAGAACUCGGAUUAUAGGUAUGAGCCACUGCACCUGGCCUAGCUGUGGCUGUGUAUUUUAGAAUGAAGCUGUGACUAAUGCUGGGUAUUGGCCUUCAUCUAGGGUGCAGGCUGGUGGGGAGAUUUUUUUUUUUUUUCUGUGCAAGUUGUGGGCCCAUCAGGUAGUUAUUCCUGAAAAAGCAGUCAACUGAAAAACAGAAAGAAUAAAAAGAGUGGGGACUGGGAAGCUGCUAUUAGAUUGUAUCUUGAGGUCCACACUCUCCAGGACCCUUAAAUACCUCUGCUGCUGCUGCUGCUGCUGCUGCUCAUGC